UUAAAUAUUAUAUCAUACUCAGACAGCAAUAUAAAAGAAUUAAUGGGUCCUCUAGCAGGCACUAACCAGCCAAGGCUAGUAGUUGUAAAACAGGCCUGCCAAGGCAACAAAGAUAUUAUAGACAAAGGGUGGGAGAUAUACCCUAAAGGGCAUGUUCUCUGUAAUGAUCCUUCCGCAGGUUCACCUACGGAACACAAAUUCCACUGGUUUUUACAAAAGUAGGCCGGUCAUAUCUAAAUCCCAAGGCUACAACUAAGUAGCAAUACCAAGGACCACCUUUGUUUGAUCUGUGAACUGCAGUUAGCAGCUGCUUGUUACCUUUUUAGAUAUCCAAGCACAUUAAAGGUGUUGCCUAUAUAAUAGACUGGGAUCAAGGCUUCAGUAUGGUGUGUUUUAUGAAAA
rnacentral:misc_RNA from 1 species